UACAGAGGUCCCAAGCGUUGUUCGGAUUCACUGGGCGUAAAGGGUGCGUAGGUGGUAGGGUAAGUUUGAUGUGAAAUCUCCGAGCUUAACUCGGAAACUGCAUUGAAUACUAUUUUACUUGAGGUUUGGAGGGGGGACUGGAAUUCUCGGUGUAGCAGUGAAAUGCGUAGAUAUCGAGAGGAACACCAGUGGCGAAGGCGAGUCCCUGGACAACACCUGACACUGAGGCACGAAAGCUAGGGGAGCAAACAGG
rnacentral:rRNA from 1 species